rnacentral:rRNA from 1 species
CACGUAGGGUGCGAGCGUUGUCCGGAAUUAUUGGGCGUAAAGAGCUCGUAGGCGGUGUGUCGCGUCGGCCGUGAAAACCUGCAGCUUAACUGUGGGCUUGCGGUCGAUACGGGCAUCACUGGAGUUCGGCAGGGGAGACUGGAAUUCCUGGUGUAGCGGUGAAAUGCGCAGAUAUCAGGAGGAACACCGGUGGCGGAAGGCGGGUCUCUGGGGCCGAUACUGAC